AUUGAACGCUGGCGGCAUGCUUUACACAUGCAAGUCGAACGGUAACAGGUCUUCGGAUGCUGACGAGUGGCGAACGGGUGAGUAAUGCAUCGGAACGUGCCCAGUCGUGGGGGAUAACGCAGCGAAAGCUGUGCUAAUACCGCAUACGAUCUAUGGAUGAAAGCGGGGGACCGUAAGGCCUCGCGCGAUUGGAGCGGCCGAUGUCAGAUUAGCUAGUUGGUGGGGUAAAGGCCCACCAAGGCGACGAUCUGUAGCUGGUCUGAGAGGACGACCAGCCACACUGGGACUGAGACACGGCCCAGACUCCUACGGGAGGCAGCAGUGGGGAAUUUUGGACAAUGGGCGCAAGCCUGAUCCAGCAAUGCCGCGUGCAGGAAGAAGGCCUCGGUU
rnacentral:rRNA from 1 species